CUUGCAUUGGAAGGUGGAUUCUUAACGACUGGACCACCAGGGAAGCCCCAAAACUGACCUUUAUGGGCAGGCAGAUGAGGAAGGGUGUUGGAAUGUCUCAGGAACACCCUUGCCUCUCAAUGUUUAUUCAACGUCUUUUACCCAAAUCUUUUAUUUAAGCAGCAAUUCAUGUAGAGUGUGCCAAAUUCAGAACAUGGCCUUGAAUCUCUGGGACAUCCUAAGUCCAGUAUGACUUCUGAUGUCUCACUUGGAUAAAAACAUUAAGAACACUGGUUGGCUUGAUGAUAUCUUCAGGCAUGAUGCAUUAGGGGUUUCCUGAUGAAGCAAGAAGCUGGAGUGGGGAGGGUCCCAGUUUCAGGUUUCCCAUUCCAGAACUUGAAAAGUAAUAAAAAAGAUUGUUACCUGUUCCAAUAAGCAUUCCCGUUCAUCAACAAGCUUUUUCAACCUAAUAUCUAAAGAAAUCAGAAAGACAACAGGUUUAGGUGACUCGGUGAAUGCGUCUUUCAGCAGAUGGCUAAACCGCAGAAUGAGCACUGGGGUUAGUGAAACUGACGAUGGUAUUACAAACACACCGAGUAUCACGACCAGAUAUAACCAGCAUUUUCAUUAGCCUUGACUCUCCGAGUUUCUACCCCAGACAUGUGUAUCUUCUUCAUUUCUCUCAAAGACUCACCCACGUCAGAGUUGUUUACAGACCCUAAGUGUGCCGAUGACACACCGGCUAACCCACUUGUGAGGAGCUGCUCUUCUUUUGAGGAAGAACGAAACAAUAGCUCAGGUUUCUGUCACUCCUCCCACCCCAGACACAGAAGUUUGCAUGUACGUAAGCACCCAGAGUUGGAGCAAGCUCCGGGAGAUGGUGGAAGACAGGGAAGCCUGGCGUGCUGCAGUCCAUGGGGUCUCAAAGAGUGCAACACGACUGAGCGACUAAGCUGAACGGAAGCACCCAGAAAUCCCCCCAACGUCUCUGUGAAGGGGCAUUGAGGAAUAUGGUCUCCAGAGUACAGGGGGGAAACUAAGACUGGGGAGGGCUUUAGGGGCAACAUCCUCCCCAGUUUUUCCAGGCAACAUCAGGAUGAGCUGAUGCUGACAGAUGCCCGUGUGUGCUGUGGUGUGCCCUGGCGACUCACACUACCGCCCACGAAGCCCCACGGGGGGCGCUGCUGCUAUACUUCCCCUCUACAGGGGAGGACCCCGGCCCAGCAGGUUUCCUGAGGCCCCGGGCCGCACCCCUGACCACUGCGCUCACUGUUUGCAUAAACCUGGCUGUCUGAGUCAGACCAACUGAGGCUCCUAUUCCCAAGGGGCAGCGCUCUCACACUGCCCAGAUUUUGAUUAGAUGUGUGAAAUGGAAAAUUCAUAAAAGACACACCUUCGUUUUCAUUCUUGCAAAGUCAUCUAUCCUAAUAAAAAUUAUAUGCUUUCUCAAUUGGCUUUUCCCAACAUCCUAAGUUGCUAUUUUGAAAGGCAUAACAAUGAAAUAAAUGAAAGCAGAAAAAGUUAUGUGUAAGAUACAUUUAUCAUCCUUCUGAGUUCCAUUUUAAUUGACAUAUAAAUUGCUUCUGACAGAUGUUUUAUUUUGUCCUUUCCAUAAAUGCACUCAACACUGAAACAAAAAUUAAAAAAAAAUUAAAAACUUGGCUCUCAUAUGCAAUAUCGCUUUUCAUUUUAUCCUGUAUAUUUAAUACUCCUAUAUACAGUAACCACAGGCAUAAGAAACACUGAAUAUAACAGAAAGGGACUUGAGGCUCAUGGGUCCAUUUACAAUUUAUUAUUAUUUUUUCUAUUAGAAGUUUUCAAAUAUCAAGUAAAAAAUGUUAAAAUGUAAUAACAGUGCUAGCAAUAAAAAAAACAAGGAUAAU
ensembl:lncRNA